GUGGUAAUGCCGGAUGCUCCGGUUGGAUGCAUGUCCUUCCGGGAAAGAUUCUAUCGGUAUGGGAUGGGGUCGCGUCCUAUCAGCUUGAUGGCGGGGUAACGGCCCACCAUGGCUUCGACGGGUAGCCGGCCUGAGAGGGCGACCGGCCACAUUGGGACUGAGAUACGGCCCAGACUCCUACGGGAGGCAGCAGUGGGGAAUAUUGCACAAUGGGCGCAAGCCUGAUGCAGCGACGCCGCGUGCGGGAUGGAGGCCUUCGGGUUGUAAACCGCUUUUGAUCGGGAGCAAGCCCUUCGGGGUGAGUGUACCUUUCGAAUAAGCACCGGCUAACUACGUGCCAGCAGCCGCGGUAAUACGUAGGGUGCAAGCGUUAUCCGGAAUUAUUGGGCGUAAAGGGCUCGUAGGCGGUUCGUCGCGUCCGGUGUGAAAGCCCAUCGCUUAACGGUGGGUCUGCGCCGGGUACGGGCGGGCUGGAGUGCGGUAGGGGAGACUGGAAUUCCCGGUGUAACGGUGGAAUGUGUAGAUAUCGGAAAGAACACC
rnacentral:rRNA from 1 species